CCUACGUGAGGCAGCAGUGGGGAAUAUUGGACAAUGGGCGAAAGCCUGAUCCAGCCAUGCCGCGUGUGUGAAGAAGGCCUUCGGGUUGUAAAGCACUUUCAGUGGGGAAGAAAGCCUUGGGGCUAAUACCCUCGAGGAAGGACAUCACCCACAGAAGAAGCACCGGCUAACUCCGUGCCAGCAGCCGCGGUAAUACGGAGGGUGCGAGCGUUAAUCGGAAUUACUGGGCGUAAAGCGCGCGUAGGCGGUCUGAUAAGCCGGUUGUGAAAGCCCCGGGCUCAACCUGGGAACGGCAUCCGGAACUGUCAGGCUAGAGUGCAGGAGAGGAAGGUAGAAUUCCCGGUGUAGCGGUGAAAUGCGUAGAGAUCGGGAGGAAUACCAGUGGCGAAGGCGGCCUUCUGGACUGACACUGACGCUGAGGUGCGAAAGCGUGGGUAGCAAACAGGAUUAGAUACCCUAGUAGUC
rnacentral:rRNA from 1 species